UAUUCCUCCACAUGUAGGAUUUCCAGGGC
rnacentral:piRNA from 1 species